AUUCAUUUGGAAAACUCAAUAAUGCAAAAUGAUAGUUAAAGGCAGUUUAUCAUUGAAUUCAUUGAUGUCAUCUCUGUUCAUUGAAAUAGUGUCUGUUUUAAUUUGCAAUCAAGUCAACGAUAUCGCUGUAGAUGAAGUGACCCCAACUAAGCAAGCCAGAGGCGACAGCAGCAAGGAACCGAAACUCCAUCGGUGACAGAAUGGAGAAAAAAACCUUGGGAGAAACCAGGCUCAGUUGGGGGGCCAGUUCUCCUCUGACCAGACGAAACCAGUAGUUCAAUUCCAGGCUGCAGCAAAGUCAGAUUGUGCAGAAGAAUCAUCUGUUUCCUGUGGUCUUGUCCUGGUGGUCCUCUGAGACAAGGUCUUUACAGGGGAUCUGUAUCUGGGGCUCUAGUUGUCCUGGUCUCCGCUGUCUUUCAGGGCAGUAGAGGUCCUUUCUAGGUGCUGAUCCACCAUCUGGUCUGGAUACGUACUGGAUCCGGGUGACUGCAGUGACCCUCUGAUCUGGACACAGACUGGAUCUGGUGGCCACGGUGACCUCGGAACGAGAGAGAAACAGACAAAUAUUAGCGUAGAUGCCAUUCUUCUAAUGAUGUAGCAAGUACGGUGUUAUGUGAAGUGUUCCGGUUCCAGUUUACCUAAUUAAUGCAGCCUAAAAAUCCUUUAACGGAUUUGGAUAUUAAAAGCAUAUUAGUAUGUUAUGUGUAUGCCAGGUUAAAGAGAUGGGUCUUUAAUCUAGAUUUAAACUGCAAGAGUGUGUCUGCCUCCCGAACAAUGUUAGGUAGGUUAUUCCAGAGUUUAGGCGCCAAAUAGGAAAAGGAUCUGCCGCCCGCAGUUGAUUUUGAUAUUCUAGGUAUUAUCAAAUUGCCUGAGUUUUGAGAACGUAGCGGACGUAGAGGAGUAUAAUGUAAAAGGAGCUCAUUCAAAUACUGAGGUGCUAAACCAUUCAGGGCUUUAUAAGUAAUAAGCAAUAUUUUAAAAUCUAUACGAUGUUUGAUAGGGAGCCAGUGCAGUGUGGACAGGACCGGGCUAAUAUGGUCAUACUUCCUGGUUCUAGUAAGAACUCUUGCUGCUGCAUUUUGGACUAGUUGUAGUUUGUUUACCAAGCGUGCAGAACAACCACCCAAUAAAGCAUUACAAUAGUCUAA